rnacentral:rRNA from 1 species
CGCGGCCUAUCAGCUUGUUGGUGGGGUAAUGGCUCACCAAGGCGACGACGGGUAGCCGGCCUGAGAGGGUGACCGGCCACACUGGGACUGAGACACGGCCCAGACUCCUACGGGAGGCAGCAGUGGGGAAUAUUGCACAAUGGGCGAAAGCCUGAUGCAGCGACGCCGCCUGAGGGAUGACGGCCUUCGGGUUGUAAACCUCUUCAGCACGGAAGAAGCGAAAGUGACGGUACGUGCAGAAGAAGCGCCGGCUAACUACGUGCCAGCUGCCGCGGUAAUACGUAGGGCGCAAGCGUUGUCCGGAAUUAUUGGGCGUAAAGAGAUCGUAGGCGGUUUGUCGCGUCUGCUGUGAAAGCCCGGGGCUUAACCCCGGGUGUGCAGUGGGUACGGGCAGACUUGAGUGCAGUAGGGGAGACUGGAAUUCCUGGUGUAGCGGUGAAAUGCGCAGAUAUCAGGAGGAACACCGAUGGCGAAGGCAGGUCUGUGGCCUGUUAUUGACGCUGAGGAGCGAAAGCAUGGGGAGCGAACAGGAUUAGAUACCGUGGUAGUCCAUGCCGUAAACGUUGGGCUCUAGGUGUGGGGAACAUUCCACGUUUUCCGCGCCGUAGCUAACGCAUUAAGUGCCCCGCCUGGGGAGUACGG